UACGUAGGGGGGCAAGCGUUGUCCGGAUUUACUGGGCGUAAAGAGCGCGCAGGCGGUCGAUCAAGUUGAGUGUGAAAGCCCCCGGCUCAACUGGGGAGGGUCAUUCGAUACUGAUCGACUCGAAGGCAGGAGAGGGUAGUGGAAUUCCCGGUGUAGUGGUGAAAUGCGUAGAUAUCGGGAGGAACACCAGUGGCGAAGGCGACUACCUGGCCUGUUCUUGACGCUGAGGCGCGAAAGCUAGGGGAGCAAACGGG
rnacentral:rRNA from 1 species